UGAACAAUCAAUUUAGUAUGACCAGUUG
rnacentral:sRNA from 1 species